AUGCUUACCUGGCGGGGGAGACACCGUGAUCUCAAAGGUGGUUUUAACCCAGGGCAAGGCUUAUCCAUUGUACUCUGGAUGAAUCGACCCUUGCAAUUUCCCAAAAUGUAGGAAACUCAACUGAAAAAUCUGUGGUAGUGGGGACUGCAUUUUCGAAAACCAAAC